AUGAACGCUGGCGGCGUGCCUAAUACAUGCAAGUUGAGCGAACGGACGAGAAGCUUGCUUCUCUGAUGUUAGCGGCGGACGGGUGAGUAACACGUGGAUAACCUACCUAUAAGACUGGGAUAACUUCGGGAAACCGUAGCUAAUACCGGAUAAUAUUUUGAACCGCAUGGUUCAAAAGUGAAAGACGGUCUUGCUGUCACUUAUAGAUGGAUCCGCGCUGCAUUAGCUAGUUGGUAAGGUAACGGCUUACCAAGGCAACGAUGCAUAGCCGACCUGAGAGGGUGAUCGGCCACACUGGAACUGAGACACGGUCCAGACUCCUACGGGAGGCAGCAGUAGGGAAUCUUCCGCAAUGGGCGAAAGCCUGACGGAGCAACGCCGCGUGAGUGAUGAAGGUCUUCGGAUCGUAAAACUCUGUUAUUAGGGAAGAACAUAUGUGUAAGUAACUGUGCACAUCUUGACGGUACCUAAUCAGAAAGCCACGGCUAACUACGUG
rnacentral:rRNA from 1 species